rnacentral:rRNA from 1 species
CCUACGGGAGGCAGCAGUAGGGAAUCUUCCACAAUGGGCGAAAGCCUGAUGGAGCAACGCCGCGUGGGUGAAGAAGGUCUUCGGAUCGUAAAACUCUGUUGUUAGAGAAGAAAGUGCGUGAGAGUAACUGUUCACGUUUCGACGGUAUCUAACCAGAAAGCCACGGCUAACUACGUGCCAGCAGCCGCGGUAAUACGUAGGUGGCAAGCGUUAUCCGGAUUUAUUGGGCGUAAAGGGAACGCAGGCGGUCUGUUAAGUCUGAUGUGAAAGCCUUCGGCUUAACCGGAGUAGUGCAUUGGAAACUGGGAGACUUGAGUGCAGAAGAGGAGAGUGGAAUUCCAUGUGUAGCGGUGAAAUGCGUAGAUAUAUGGAAGAACACCAGUGGCGAAGGCGACUCUCUGGUCUGUAACUGACGCUGAGGUUCGAAAGCGUGGGUAGCAAACAGGAUUAGAUACCCCAGUAGUC